rnacentral:antisense_RNA from 10 species
UGGAAAUACUCCUUUGUGAGUGAUUUUACAUAGGCAUAGAGAAACUGAUUUUGCGGUCGUAUUCUCUAUGCUUUCAUAUACCA